rnacentral:lncRNA from 1 species
CAUCUUGGUCAAAUGAAAGCCAUAAGGAAGAUAAGUUAAUCACAGCUAUGACUGUAAGCUUUCAGCUGCCUUCAGACAGAAUGAUGAAUGCAAAAUAGGAUUAGUAUUCCUAGGAGGUAACGUUAUACAUAGUUGCACAUUAUAGAAAAAUACCAGCAGAACUGUACAGAGGACGUACUCUGGAAGCCAUGCACCUCAUCUGUACAGCACAUUGACAAAGACCUACCUCAAAGACUGAUGCUGCUUGAA